rnacentral:rRNA from 1 species
UCCCAAACCCAAUGUGAACGUUACCAAACUGUUGCCUCGGCGGGAUCUCUGCCCCGGGUGCGUCGCAGCCCCGGACCAAGGCGCCCGCCGGAGGACCAACCAAAACUCUUAUUGUAUACCCCCUCGCGGGUUUUUUAUAAUCUGAGCCUUCUCGGCGCCCCUCGUGGGCGUUUCGAAAAUGAAUCAAAACUUUCAACAACGGAUCUCUUGGUUCUGGCAUCGAUGAAGAACGCAGCGAAAUGCGAUAAGUAAUGUGAAUUGCAGAAUUCAGUGAAUCAUCGAAUCUUUGAACGCACAUUGCGCCCGCCAGUAUUCUGGCGGGCAUGCCUGUCCGAGCGUCAUUUCAACCCUCGAACCCCUCCGGGGGGUCGGCGUUGGGGAUCGGCCCUCCCUCUGCGGGGGCCGUCUCCGAAAUCCAGUGGCGGUCUCGCCGCAGCCUCUCCUGCGCAGUAGUUUGCACACUCGCACCGGGAGCGCGGCGCGUCCACAGCCGUUAAACACCCAACUUUCUGAAAUGUUGACCUCGGAUCAGGUAGGAAUACCCGCUGAACUUAAGCAUAUCAAUAAGCGGA